CUCUUCAAUCUCAGGACUCGC
rnacentral:miRNA from 1 species